UUUGUCCUUUUUGUCAUGCAAUGUUGUAUCAUGAUUUUAUUAUGGAAAUUAUCGUUAAAAUCGAUACACGGAUAAAGAUGUAAUUAUAUACUUAUUAUUAAUUAUUAAUCUAUACAUAUAUGAUAAAAAAAAUGCGCUCAAGGUUUUUACAUGUUAAACUAUUGUUCGAUUACCUACCGUGUAUUCGAUUCGAUUAUUCCAAACAAAACUAAACUCACAUUCGAUUUCUUUCCCGACAUCCGUCCCUCUAGUCUCUUAUCUAGGCAUCCGACUAUUAACAACAAUUGAAAAACCGUUCCAACAUGGUACUUCAAAAAUCAAUCUCUCUAGACCUUAAAAGCCCGUGCUAGCCCGUGUAUUGUGUGCACGUAUUGUAUUCGCUUACGUUACGCAAUCAAAAAUAAACGGUGCUACUAGAAAAUAUUUAGCGUUAACAAUCAACGUUGCAAAUUCAAUUAAUACUGUUCAAUACCAAUGCAAGUGUUUGCCGCACAGCAAGAAAUUCGAACCUAUCUCGGUUCGCGAACAAGAUGAAAAAAAAAAACAUGAUUAAAUUACAACAUGUAAUCGGAUAUCCAUUUAAACAUCGGUAAUAUUCUCGCAAGUACGCGUGUCUAUCUACCUAUCAAAUCUUACCCAGGUAAAUGAGCGGCAUAACACUGUCUAAAAAAUUGUUUCUUCUGUUCUUCAGACACCGGAUCAUACACCAUCUUUCGAUUUAUUUUUUUUUUUGUUUUAAUAUAAUUUUUUAUUGUAUUAUCGAUGCGAUCAACGUUUCAAUCGUUUUCAUCUUCCCCUUUCGAUAUUUACACUUCUCGAGCUAUAUAUAUAUUUUUUUUCUCUUAAUUUUUUAUAAUGUAAAGUUUCGUUUCAAAUUCGUUCGCUCUCGACUUCGAUCGCGAACGAGAGUACGAUCAGUGGUCACGCUUAUGACUUGUCUAGUCAUAAGAAACGUAUACACAUUAUUGUACAUGCAUGUGUUAGUAAUAUACCGCAUACUGAGAAGAAUCGAAGCGAAUGUUACGCGUGCCGCGCUUGGUAUACAUACAUACGAUCAGAUCUAAUUUCAAUAUCAGAAUUAGCAUCUUGCGUAUCAUUGUCCGAACUUUGUCCAAAACAAUAUUCAUCGCUCGAAGUGCCAUAAACCAUCCAUUGUUCGUAUCUGGGAGAUUGGAGCAUCCUGUCGAUCAAGCUGUCCGUAGAUCCAACGAAAACUGUCUCCUCACUGCUGGGAUUGUCAGUUGGUCAUCGCAUAGAAUGCAUUAUUAACUAUUAUUGCUUGGUUUAUUUCCUUCUCUUCAGAUAUUAUCGAAUAUUAACAUGUAAAAGAUUUACUAUGGGCCGCGCAAAAAGUUCGAAAUGUCUCGGCAGAGAACAUGCGAUAUAUAAUAAAUGCAUAAAAAUAUUUAUUUUUUUUAUUGAUUUUUUCUUCCAAAAUUACCAGAUUUAAUAUAAUAAAUGUAAUAAAGAGUAA